rnacentral:rRNA from 1 species
AUGGAGGAGCCCCCUAGCAGCAAGCGCCGCAACUACGACGACUAUCAUAAGGAGGGUGGCCCAACUCACUUCUGCAAGGUCAUCCUUGCACCGAAGCUUGAGUGCAUCCCCUUGCCCCUGGACUUCACCAAGCACUUCGCCGCGGUGCCGAUGGAGUUCAAGCUGAGGAACAACACCGGUUGCUCCUGGAGGGUAACGGUGAAGCUGAUGAACGACAAGGUGACCCUGGAUCAGGGUUGGGCCACCUUCCCCGUAGUUCAUUAGAUCAAGAUCGGCUACAUGGUGACGUUCAAUCUCCUGACUCCCGACACCCUCAAAGUCAUCAUCUUCGACGACGAUGGAAUUGAAGUGGUCAACAAGUGCGGAAGGCACGACGAAGCCUUCGCCGCCAGGGACUAG